rnacentral:rRNA from 1 species
GACGAACCGUGCGAACGUUGUUCGGAAUCACUGGGCUUAAAGGGCGCGUAGGCGGGCUGCCAAGUCUGGGGUGAAAUCCUCCGGCUCAACCGGAGAACGGCCUCGGAUACUGGCGGUCUCGAGGGAGGUAGGGGCGUGCGGAACUAAGGGUGGAGCGGUGAAAUGCGUUGAUAUCCUUAGGAACUCCGGUGGCGAAGGCGGCACGCUGGGCCUUUUCUGACGCUGAUGCGCGAAAGCCAGGGGAGCAAACGGG